rnacentral:rRNA from 1 species
GGGUUGUGAGGUUAAGCGACUAAGCGUACACGGUGGAUGCCCUGGCAGUCAGAGGCGAUGAAGGACGUGCUAAUCUGCGAUAAGCGCCGGUAAGGUGAUAUGAACCGUUAUAACCGGCGAUUUCCGAAUGGGGAAACCCAGUGUGACUCGUCACACUAUCAUUAACUGAAUCCAUAGGUUAAUGAGGCGAACCGGGGGAACUGAAACAUCUAAGUACCCCGAGGAAAAGAAAUCAACCGAGAUUCCCCCAGUAGCGGCGAGCGAACGGGGAGGAGCCCAGAGCCUGAAUCAGCAUGUGUGUUAGUGGAAGCGUCUGGAAAGGCGCGCGAUACAGGGUGACAGCCCCGUACACAAAAGCGCAUGUGCUGUGAGCUCGAUGAGUAGGGCGGGACACGUGGUAUCCUGUCUGAAUAUGGGGGGACCAUCCUCCAAGGCUAAAUACUCCUGACUGACCGAUAGUGAACCAGUACCGUGAGGGAAAGGCGAAAAGAACCCCGGCGAGGGGAGUGAAAAAGAACCUGAAACCGUGUACGUACAAGCAGUGGGAGCACAGGUUUACCUGUGUGACUGCGUACCUUUUGUAUAAUGGGUCAGCGACUUAUAUUCUGUAGCAAGGUUAACCGUAUAGGGGAGCCGGAGGGAAACCGAGUCUUAAUUGGGCGUUAAGUUGCAGGGUAUAGACCCGAAACCCGGUGAUCUAGCCAUGGGCAGGUUGAAGGUUGGGUAACACUAACUGGAGGACCGAACCGACUAAUGUUGAAAAAUUAGCGGAUGACCUGUGGCUGGGGGUGAAAGGCCAAUCAAACCGGGAGAUAGCUGGUUCUCCCCGAAAGCUAUUUAGGUAGCGCCUCGUGAAUUCAUCUCCGGGGGUAGAGCACUGUUUCGGCUAGGGGGCCAUCCCGGCUUACCAACCCGAUGCAAACUGCGAAUACCGGAGAAUGUUAUCACGGGAGACACACGGCGGGUGCUAACGUCCGUCGUGAAGAGGGAAACAACCCAGACCGCCAGCUAAGGUCCCAAAGUCAUGGUUAAGUGGGAAACGAUGUGGGAAGGCCCAGACAGCCAGGAUGUUGGCUUAGAAGCAGCCAUCAUUUAAAGAAAGCGUAAUAGCUCACUGGUCGAGUCGGCCUGCGCGGAAGAUGUAACGGGGCUAAACCAUGCACCGAAGCUGCGGCAGCGAACGUAUCACCCAAGACAACUUUACGGAGUUGACGAUUGACGGAGCGAAGCGACGUCAAAGCGUUCAUUAAAGUCGAGUUGGCUUAGGGAUACGUUCGUUGGGUAGGGGAGCGUUCUGUAAGCCU